GACGAGAUGAAUGAUGGCGGUCACAAUCCUGUAAUAUGGUAAAAAAAUAAAAUAAAAGACAACUGUGCGCGGAGUCGUGUUGAGAGGCGCCCGUCCCACGCCGAGGGGGCGAGCACCAACCUCUUCCUGCUACGUCAACAUGGCGGCCCUCCACAGCCUAUCAGCUAACAUGGAGGCGGAUGUACGACAGUGCACUCUCAGUACCCGGAUGUUGCACUCGCCACGCCCCCGACGAGGAGUGCACCUUCACCCGUUAAGAGACCAGUUGGAACAACUCCAUUAAAAUGGACAACUUUCGUCUAUAACUUUGAGUAUAUUUAAUUAUAUUAUUCUAUCCACACACAUAUCUUAGCUGCUGCUUUCCACUGGGAAGACAUUGUUUAGGGAGGACUGGCUUAAUAAGACAUGCUGUUGCCACCUACAGGAAAGGAGUGGAACGGCAUCAAGCUCCGUGUGGGACUCUGUCUCUGUCUCUCCCUGUCUACCGGUACCAUUCCCCCUUCUCUUAAAAUGGCCUCAGUCACUCCAAUACUAAAAAAACCCGGUCUGAUCCCCAUGUUCUAAAUAACGACCGGCCAAGAUCAAACCUUCUGUUUAUCUCCAAGCGACCAUUGUUGCUGCUCAACUCCAGGACCAU